CCAAUAGCGUAUAUUAAAGUUGUUGCAGUUAAAAAGCUCGUAGUUGAAUUUCGGGGUCAGUAGAUUGGUCGUGCCACUGGUAUGUACUGGUCUUACUGGCUCCUCCUUCCUGAUGAACCGUAAUGCCAUUAAUUUGGUGUUGCGGGGAAACUGGACUGUUACUUUGAAAAAAUUAGAGUGUUUAAAGCAGGCUAACGCUUGAAUACAUUAGCAUGGAAUAAUGAAAUAGGACGUUCGAUCUUAUUUUGUUGGUUUCUAGGAUUGACGUAAUGAUUAAUAGGGAUAGGUGGGGGCAUUAGUAUUCAAUUGUCAGAGGUGAAAUUCUUGGAUUUAUUGAAGACUAACUACUGCGAAAGCAGUUGCCAAGGAUGUUUUCAUUAAUCAAGAACGAAAGGUAGGGGAUCGAAGACGAUCAGAGACCGUCGUAGUCUUAACCAUAAACUAUGCCGACUAGGGAUCGGAUGAUGUUAAUUUUUUAAUGACUCAUUCGGCGCCUUACG
rnacentral:rRNA from 1 species